GCGGAGGUGGCGCAGUUGGUUAGCGCGUAGGUUUCAUUACUUGUUUGACUUUUUUUUUUUUUUUUUUUUUUUUCCUAAGGUUUUUUCGAACCCCUCUCUCCGCA
rnacentral:tRNA from 1 species